rnacentral:tRNA from 4 species
GGGGCUGAUUGGGGUGCUGGUGCCCUCCACGGUCUUCAAAACCGCUUGUGACCACCGUGUGUGGUCAGCUGGGUUCGAUUCCCAGGCGGUCCCGCCA